ACUCCUACGGGAGGCAGCAGUGGGGAAUUUUGGACAAUGGGCGAAAGCCUGAUCCAGCCAUUCCGCGUGCAGGAUGAAGGCCCUCGGGUUGUAAACUGCUUUUGUACAGAACGAAAAGGUUUCUAUUAAUACUAGGAGCUCAUGACGGUACUGUAAGAAUAAGCACCGGCUAACUACGUGCCAGCAGCCGCGGUAAU
rnacentral:rRNA from 1 species